rnacentral:piRNA from 2 species
UCAGUGUCAGGUGUGACAUCAGAUCCUGA